rnacentral:rRNA from 1 species
GCAAUGACUCUCGGCAAUGGAUAUCUUGGCUCUCGCAUCGAUGAAGAACGCAGCGAAAUGCGGUAUGUGUUGUGAAUUGCAGAAUCCCGUGAACCAUCGAGUUUUUGAAUGCAAGUUACGCUUGAGGCCUUUAGGUCGAGGGCACGCCUGCCUGGGCAU